rnacentral:lncRNA from 1 species
AGAGAGAGAGAGAGAGAGAAUGCAUGACUCCAGGAUGUGUUCCUACCUCAGUGUUAACAAGUCUCUAGAACAACACUCUGGUGUGAUUCAUCCCUCAAGCGCAUUCUAAUUCAGUCAGUGGAAGUGAGUGUAAGUAUACAAGCACUGUCCCUUCAGCUUCCCUGAGCAGAUCUCGAAUAGAAGAUCGUCUUCAGCAAGAAGUGACCACCAGAUGGCAGUGUUUGCCAGCAGUGACAUGAUAAAAACACCAGCUUCCCUUUUACCUUAGCAAAAUUCAUUCUGACUAUUUGUAACUGAUCACUAUCUAAGCGCAUUUAAAUGUUUGGAUAUAUGAAUAUGUCAAGUGCAGUUUCUUUGAAAAUUAGACUGAUUUUUGGAAGUGUUGAUAUAGCCCUGUUUUAAAAUGUAGUUUAAGCUCAGAUACUCAUUUUUUAUACUCUGCUAAAAGUGUUUCUAUAACAUAAACUGAUGUUGAAGAUAGUUUAAUAAGACCACAGAAUGUUUAUUUUGUAAUACGUUUUUCUUAUGUCCAAAGCAGAUUGGGAAUAAAAGUGUUUGACC